UCUAGUAUGGCAGAAUAGUGCAAUGAAUUUAAGCUUCAUAUAUAAAGAAAUAUCUUUUGCUAGAA
rnacentral:tRNA from 1 species